AGUUCGAGUCGAAGACGGUACCGCGCUGCGUGGGAGGCGAGGGGCUCUAGGCUCAAGAAGACCUUCUCCGGUACCACCAACCGCCGCCGCCGGCCCUAUACGUACCCACCGGUCGCCGCCGUGCUAGCCAACCGUCGGAUCAGGCGUUGACCGAGGCCGCUCGCACCCUCCUUACCGCACGGCUCCGACCCCAAGCUCGCCGCCGGCCACCCCAACUCGAAUUUGCUGUCGACCGACCACCCCUCCUACCUCGACGCCAACAACCCCGAGGUACCUGAGCCAUGGUUUAUAGUGGGAAUGGACGAGCCGCCGCCUUCGUGGGAUCCCGUUAAGGCUCCAAAGUUUGCAGGUUCUCAGGCACCAAAGGAAGCACUUUUGGCCACUCAAAAACUGGAUGAUCAUGACAUCGAAGGAGCAACUCAUCUCCGUUACAACAUCAUUUUUCAUCUUUUCUUGAUCCGCAAUAAUACUCAGCCUUGUUUGGUGUGCAAAAACAUAAUUAGUCACUACUAGGAAAAGGCCUACUAAUGGCGCACCAGUUUUGCCUACUAAUGACGCACUACUGGUG